GUGCCCGUAGUUCAAUGGAUAGAACGUCGGGUUGCGGACCCGAAGGCUGAGAGUUCGAUUCUCUCCGGGCACA
rnacentral:tRNA from 1 species